AUAUAAAUGAGUGUGUGGAGCUCUCAACCUGCCCCAAUGCCAAGUUUGAGUGCAGGAACAAGCCCGGCUCUGUGGACUGCUUCUGUAGAUACCAGAACACCAAGGACGUUGAUGGAUGUGGUGACUCUGCCAAUCCUCCAGGUAAGACUUCCCACUAUGGCUACCUUAUCUUUAUCACAGCUUUGCUCUUUCGCUGGUGUUGCCAUGGUAAACGCACAUCCAUAUACGGUGAUAAGAGGUCGUAACACGACUGUCGCUGCUGCUCUGUCUCUGCAGGGUGUAAUGUGUUUAACGUCUCUGUGGGCUGGAAGAAGAGCAAGACUGAAGGACUCAAACAGCUGGUGGACAUUCUGUCGAUCGGUUUCCAAAACAAAUUCUACAACGCCAGUUACAAGGAUCCAGCCCCGGGGUCCGGUCUGGGUGCAGCCGAAUACCGUAUCAACGUGUCCAGUGACACCCCCCACUGGUACAUCAGAGACUACCUGGCCAGAGUCAGCGGCCACUAUGACAUCAGUUCUGUAG
rnacentral:lncRNA from 1 species